UACGUAGGGGGCGAGCGUUGUCCGGAUUUAUUGGGCGUAAAGAGCGUGUAGGCGGCCAGGUAGGUCUGCUGUGAAAACUCGAGGCUCAACCUCGAGACGUCGGUGGAAACUAUCUGGCUAGAGUCCGGAAGAGGAGAAUGGAAUUCCUGGUGUAGCGGUGAAAUGCGCAGAUAUCAGGAAGAACACCCGUGGCGAAGGCGGCCAGCUGGGCCGUCCCUGACGCUGAGGCGCGAAAGCCAGGGGAGCAAACGGGG
rnacentral:rRNA from 1 species